rnacentral:rRNA from 1 species
UACGAAGGGGACUAGCGUUGUUCGGAAUCACUGGGCGUAAAGCGCACGUAGGCGGAUGUGUCAGUCAGGGGUGAAAUCCCGGGGCUCAACCUCGGAACUGCCUUUGAUACAGCACGUCUCGAGUCCGGAAGAGGUGGGUGGAAUUCCUAGUGUAGAGGUGAAAUUCGUAGAUAUUAGGAAGAACACCAGUGGCGAAGGCGGCUUACUGGUCCGGUUCUGACGCUGAGGCGCGAAAGCGUGGGGAGCAAACAGG